rnacentral:rRNA from 1 species
AGCGAACGCUAGCGGCAGGCUUAACACAUGCAAGUCGAGCGCCAGGUUUCGGCCUGGAGCGGCGAACGGGUGAGUAACACGUAGGUCACGUACCCUAUGGUGGGGAAUACCCCGGGGAAACUCGGAUCAAUGCCCCAUAUGUCCGAAAGGAUGAAAGCGCUUCGGCGCGCCAGAGGAUCGGCCUGCGGCCCAUUAUUUAAUCCUAGUUGGUGAGGUAACGGCUCAUCAAGGGUACGAUGGGUAGCUGGUCUGAGAGGACGAUCAGCCACACUGGAACUGAGACACGGUCCAGACUCCUACGGGAGGCAGCAGUGGGGAAUAUUGGACAAUGGGCGAAAGCCUGAUCCAGCCAUGCCGCGUGAGUGAUGAAGGCCUUCGGGUUGUAAAGCUCUGUCGUGGGGGAAGAAGUUCUGACGGUACCCCACAAGAAAGCACCGGCUAACUCCGUGCCAGCCGCCGCGGUAA